rnacentral:lncRNA from 1 species
GUCGUCGCAGUUGGCAGCACUCGCAGUUUCAGUGGUAGUAAUUGUUGUGUUCGUAAUGCUUAGGUCCACAGUGGCGUUGUUAGCGGUGGCUGUGGUGGUGGUGAGAGCAGCAGUGGCUGUGGCGGUGGUGGUGGUGAUACUAGCAGCGUUAGCGGUGGUGGUGAUGGUGGGACUGGCAGCGCUCGCUGUGGUGGUGGGAGGGGCAGGGUUCAAGGUGGCGGUGGUGGUGGGAGGGGCAGGGUUCAAGGUGGCGGUGGUGGUGGGAGGGGCAGGGUUCACGGUGGUGGUGGUGGUGGUGGUGUUGAUAUUAUUGAUGUUAUUUUUAGGUCCUUUAAAAGCUUUCCUUGUAUAAACUUUACUCUCACUAUACCUCUGUUUCUCUCUUGUAGCUGCUCCAUCAUUAUUAUUUACACCUCCUUCGCCAACUAUAGUCCCCGAAGCCAU